rnacentral:rRNA from 1 species
UGGGGGCAAACCCUGAUCUAGCCAUGCCGCGUGAGCGAUGAAGGCCUUAGGGUUGUAAAGCUCUUUCAGCUGGGAAGAUAAUGACGGUACCAGCAGAAGAAGCCCCGGCUAACUCCGAGCCAGCAGCCGCGGUAAUACGGAGGGGGCUAGCGUUGUUCGGAAUUACUGGGCGUAAAGCGCGCGUAGGCGGAUUAUUAAGUCGAGGGUGAAAUCCCGGGGCUCAACCCCGGAACUGCCUCCGAUACUGGUAGUCUUGAGGUCGAGAGAGGUGAGUGGAAUUCCGAGUGUAGAGGUGAAAUUCGUAGAUAUUCGGAGGAACACCAGUGGCGAAGGCGGCUCACUGGCUCGAUACUGACGCUGAGGUGCGAAAGUGUGGGGAGCAAACAGGAUUAGAUACCCUGGUAGUCCACACCGUAAACGAUGAAUGCCAGUCGUCGGUUUUUCAUGUUUAUUCGGUGACACACCUAACGGAUUAAGCAUUCCGCCUGGGGAGUACGGUCGCAAGAUUAAAACUCAAAUGAAUUGACGGGGG